rnacentral:rRNA from 1 species
AUUGAACGCUGGCGGCAUGCCUUACACAUGCAAGUCGAACGGCAGCGGGGGAGAAGCUUGCUUUUCCUGCCGGCGAGUGGCGAACGGGUGAGUAAUACAUCGGAACGUGCCCUGUAGUGGGGGAUAACCAGUCGAAAGAUUAGCUAAUACCGCAUACGACCUGAGGGUGAAAGUGGGGGACCGCAAGGCCUCAUGCUAUAGGAGCGGCCGAUGUCUGAUUAGCUAGUUGGUGGGGUAAAGGCCUACCAAGGCGACGAUCAGUAGCUGGUCUGAGAGGACGAUCAGCCACACUGGGACUGGGACACGGCCCAGACUCCUACGGGAGGCAGCAGUGGGGAAUUGUGGACAAUGGGCGAAAGCCUGAUCCAGCAAUGCCGCGUGUGUGAAGGAGGCCUUCGGGUUGUAAAGCACCUUUGUCCGGAAAGAAAUGGCUCUGGUUAAUACCUGGGGUCGAUGACGGUACCGGAAGAAUAAGGACCGGCUAACUACGUGCCAGCCGCCGCCGAAA